CCUUUCUUUUCUCCCGCCGAGACCGGCGCGAUCUCGGGCGCGCACGCCCUUUUUACCGUGCCCCACGAGCCCUAGCUCCGCACGCCCGAUGCCUCGGUCGCCCCCUGCGCAGCGUCGCUCCACCCCGCCGCUGCCUCUGCUCGCUACAACCGAGCAGAACACCGCCACCGCUUCCUCCGCCCGAUUCGUCGCGGCCGUCACUCGUUGAGCGAAUCCGAGGCCUCCUCGACGUUCCCUGCACCGAACUACACCUGGCCCACCCUUCCUCGUCGACGCCCCGCCGCUGGACCAGGCUCGCCGCGGAAGCAGAGCCACCGCCGCCGCCAUGCUUCAAAUUCCGAUCAAGGCGAAGGAGAUUCGCCACUGGUGAGCGCCACAUCAGUGUCAGGUGCCGCAGCAGGGGCAGAGAAGAGGCAGCGGCCGGAGGCGGAGGGAUGAGCGGGUUCGUGGGGAUUCGCGAGCGCUAAGGUUCGCGGAUUAACGGGUGACCGAUCUGCCCUGACCCUGAUCGAACGGUCUAUGUUGCGAGCUCGCUAGAUCCAACGGUUAGCAGGUUAACGGACGACGUGGCACCAUAAAAUUAUCCGGUUUGAGCCUAGGAUUCGUCGUGUUUAGAAGGUUGCUGCUUUUCCAUAGUUUACUUUGCUCUACAUAGGAACAUGAAGAUUUUGAUGAUCUUAAAGAAUUCACAAUCACAUUUCUCUGCUACAUUUUCUUCAGAUUCAUGUUUACUCUCAUAAGAUUGCUUUUAUA